UCGGGCUCUCGGUCACUUUAGGGCACGGGAACGAGGCGGAGGGCGGCGUGAACCGUCUGCUCGUGCUCGGGUCUACGGGAAUAUGCAUCACAACAGAUUACAAAUGAGACCCCGUGAAGAGCUCAGGCACCCAAGUGAAUUGGAUUUUGGCUAACUUCAUGGCGGUAGAGUCGCCCUCCUGGCCCAUAGAGGAGGAGACGGUCUGUGCAUCAGCUGAAGCGAGGCUUCUGAAACAUCACUGGCUGGAGACACAGGAAACAUCAGUACAACGAACGCUGGUGUUUAUGGGCCUGUGGUGUACAUGCAGGUUACACAAGGAUUGCGUCUUUGCAAGGCCGUGGUUUCCCUGAGGUCCUGGUGGUCAGAUGCGGUUUUCGGGGCAAGAGGACUUGAAGUGUGGGCAGCGCGGCCCUUCUCCUUUCUGAGAAAAGAAAGAGAGAGACUCAUCUAAUGCAUCCAUCUCUUUUCU